CUCAGGUUAUUCGACGCUCAAGAAUUCUUAUUUAGGCAGUUCAUAUCAUCCCAUACAUAGUGUUUUGAUCUAAGAUUGCAAUUCUUCCAUGUUUCCGCAGUAGCAUAUUGUUCCAUGGAGCUAGGGUCCAAAAUAGGAAUCAACAAGUGUUUCCACGACUCUACCGCCCGGCCAAUCCUGUUCCACUGAAUCCCCUCCCUUUUUCAUGGCCACAUAUCUUUACGGCUAAGGAGUGGGAAAUCUUUCUCCUGUUACACAAAUGAAAUGUUUCAUUUCAUCCGGGAAAAGCCACCUCUUUCUCCACAAACAAUGUCUUUGUCAUUUGAUCCAGGAGCCUUCCGUUAGAUAGGAACAGCUUUGCUAAAUACUGAGAACUCUCGGAUAGAGUAUUAGAAUGAAAAGACCAUUAAUUAUAUAAGGAAGAGCCCAGGGUUCUAGCCCAUUCCCAUUCCUAAAUCAAUAAUUCGUAGUGCUUUUGCCUUUCUUGCGUACUCCUGGUGAACCAGUUGCUAGCCAUAUGUUUAGGAGGCUUUUUUCUCCAGGUACUGGUACUAAGCCGCUUUGCCAUCUCUUCAUCUUCAUCUGCAAAGAAUUCUCGACGUGAAAACACAGAGACAAAGGCCUGAUCUUUGAAUAGGAAAAAGAAUGGAUCCGAAGGUCCCAAAUCAAUUGGCUUAUUCGAAAAAAGCCUUCUUCUUUGAAAGAUAUAUCUCGUGUCUGGUACUGCAUUGUUCCACUCUGCAAGAAGUCCGAAUCAGUCUCUUGCACCUCCCCCUUUUUAUGAUAAAUAUACCAGAAAUAAUUCGAAUAAAUAGCAGUCUCUGACAACUCAUCCUCUUUAAUCUGCUUGGACCCGCUCCAAUACCCAUAGGAAAAUCCCCAGUCAUAUUCAGCGUACCUGUCCCUGCAAUCAAAUAGAUUGUCCCAAGGGCCCCAUAUUCUAGGAGCCCAAGUUAUGCUAUUGAAAAUUCGUUCCUCUAGCAGUUCCGGUUUGACCAUUCCGUUCCCUUUUUCAAACUCCACUUCUUUUCAUAUAGCAUCCCUAAUCAAAGAGAGAACAAUAUCCAUUUCAAAACAUUUCUAACGGAUUCCUUGGUUCGGACCGACGAAGUAAUGGCACUCGAUUAUUAUCAACCCGACUGCAAUCUUUUUCUGUCGGUAAGGAUUGCACCAGAGCACCUUCUACUUCUAAUAGGCCAUGAACUAUAGAUAGAGAAGAAUCAUUCUGAGCGAGUCCAUAAGAAGCGACCCACUUUUUCAUCGGUUCCGGGGGAAGACCAAAGAUCUUGCGCGACCGGUCCGCCAGAAAAACUCAAAAGAGAAAGAAGUCUCGUUAAUCUCUUCAUGCUCGUUCCAAGUUCGAAGUACCGUUUGGCCAAAGAAAAAGCCGCUUCCUGACACGAUUGCCUCUUUAUAUAGAUAGAUAUAGGAUCUAUGGGGUUAUUACUUAGAAGUCUAUUUUGUACAAGAUCCCCUCCUAUCUGAUAGAAAAGGGUCCCAUGAUCCCGAGCCGGUCUUAUCUUGGCUCGCAAACCCCAAGUUUGUCUAUGAAGAGCUAAUCUAAUUGUAUUAGUUUCUAUAAUGGAUUUCUUAUGUGGAAUACUAAUGGAUAGGGCCUCGUUGCUAAGUGCUACAAGAUCUAGUGCACUGGAACUCGUGGUUAUGGACCCGAAUCCUUUAGUAUGGAACAUUGUCUUUUCCAAGUAAAAACCCCUAGUAUAUGAAAGAAUGAAAAGGUGCUUUCGUUCUUGUGGAAUAAGAAGCCCUCGUACCUUAAUGAAAGGAAAAUAGGAAUUUUUCGUUAGGUAUUUGACCAAAUAGGAUUGUCCAGUUCCUAUAGAACCUAUCACUAAAAUACCCGAUAGGGCUAAGCGGAACGAAAAGGGUUUUCCAUGAGAUGGUAAAUGAAAACGAUUAGCCCCACACGAGGUUUGGGAAUAAGUGAUUGUCUGAUAAUGAGCAAGGAAUAUACGUCUUUCUGCUAAAGAGAAUCUAUUAAACUCAUAAUUCAUUAGAUCCUUGUUAGCAAUGUCAACUAGGUAUCAUAAGUAAAUGGAUCUCGGUUGUUCAAUCCUUUGAUAACCAAGGUCAUUCUUUGCUAAAGAGAAAUGAUCACUAUGGGUCAGACUCAAUAGAAUUGGAUCCAUUCCAAAUAGCGAGAAUUAGGAUUCUUGAUCCCUCUCAGUCUCUCUUUCAAUUCGAGGAUCCGGAGAGGUGUUUUCAUAGUCAUCUCCGAAUAUUUGCCAUCUCCGAAUAUUUUCGAUUUCAUUUUUCUAUGAUAUGUCUUUCUAUAUGAAAAUUGGUUAUUUACGAUGUACGAUGAUCCCUGUUAAGCAUCCAUGGCUGAAUGGUUAAAGCGCCCAACUCAUAAUUGGUAAAUUUGCGGGUUCAAUUCCUGCUGGAUGCACGCGAACGGGAACGGUCUAUUGGAAUUGGCUCUCUAUCCAUGGAAUCUCAUCCAUCAUCCAUACAUAACGAAUUGGUAUGGUAUAUUCAUACCAUAACAUAAGAACAAUAAGAACUCGAAUUCUUAUCGAUACUGGAACUCAGAGCAUAGGGGGGAAAGUCGAUUUAUGGAUGGAAUCAAAUACGCAGUAUUUACAGAAAAGAGUCUUCGUUUAUUGGGAAAGAAUCAAUAUACUUUUAAUGUCGAAUCGGGAUUCACUAAGACAGAAAUAAAGCAUUGGGUCGAACUCUUCUUUGGUGUUAAGGUAGUAGCUGUGAAUAGCCAUCGACUACCCGGAAAGGGUAGAAGAAUGGGACCUAUUCUGGGACAUACAAUGCAUUACAGACGUAUGAUCAUUACCCUUCAACCGGGUUAUUCUAUUCCACUUCUAGAUAGAGAAACGAACUAAAGGAGAAUACUUAAUAAUACGGCGAAACAUUUAUACAAAACACCUAUCCCGAGCACACGCAAGGGAACCGUAGACAGGCAAGUGAAAUCCAAUCCACGAAAUAAAUUGAUCCAUGGACGGCACCGUUGUGGUAAAGGUCGUAAUGCCAGAGGAAUCAUUACCGCAAGGCAUAGAGGGGGAGGUCAUAAGCGCCUAUACCGUAAAAUCGAUUUUCGACGGAAUCAAAAAGACAUAUCUGGUAGAAUCAUAACCAUAGAAUACGACCCUAAUCGAAAUGCAUACAUUUGUCUCAUACACUAUGGGGAUGGUGAGAAGAGAUAUAUUUUACAUCCCAGAGGGGCUAUAAUUGGAGAUACUAUUGUUUCUGGUACAAAAGUUCCUAUAUCAAUGGGAAAUGCCCUACCUUUGAGUGCGGUUUGAACUAUUGAUUUACGUAAUUGGAAGUAACCAAUUAGGUUUACGACGAAACCUAGAAAUCGAUCACUGAUCCAAUUUGACUACCUCUACGGGAUAGACCUCAACAGAAAACUGUUGAGUAACGGCAGCAAGUGAUUGAGUUCAGUAGUUCCUCAUAGAAAAUUAUUGACUCUAGAGAUAUGGUAAUAUGGAGAAGACAAAAUUGUUUGAAGCACGCACAGAACCGGAAGCGCCCCUUGUUUCAAAGAGAGGAGGACGGGUUAUUCACAUUUAAUUUGAUGGUCAGAGGCGAAUUGAAAGUUAAGCAGUGGUAAUUAAGACCCCCGGGUGAAAAUAGGGAUGUCUCCUACGUUACCCAUAAUAUGUGGAAGUAUCGACGUAAUUUCAUAGAGUCAUUCGAUCUGAAUGCUACAUGAAGAACAUAAGCCAGAUGACGGAACGCGGAGACCUAGGAUGUAGAAGAUCAUAACAUGAGCGAUUCGGCGGAUUUGGAUUCCUUUUCUAUAUAUCCACUCAUGUGGUACUUCAUCAUACGAUUCAUAUAAGAUCCAUCUGUCUAGAGAUCGUCAUAUACAUCUAGAAAGCCGUAUGCUUUGGAAGAAGCUUGUACAGUUUGGGAAGGGGUUUUUUGAGAAAAAAGAAGAAUCUACUUCAACCGAUAUGCCCUUAGGCACGGCCAUACAUAACAUAGAAAUCACACGUGGAAGGGGUGGGCAAUUAGCUAGAGCAGCAGGUGCUGUAGCGAAACUGAUUGCAAAAGAGGGUAAAUUGGCCACUUUAAGAUUACCAUCUGGGGAGGUCCGUUUGGUAUCCCAAAACUGCUUAGCAACAGUCGGACAAGUGGGUAAUGUUGGGGUGAACCAAAAAAGUUUGGGUAGAGCCGGAUCUAAGUGUUGGCUAGGUAAACGCCCCGUAGUAAGAGGGGUAGUUAUGAACCCUGUGGACCACCCCCAUGGGGGUGGUGAAGGGAAAGCCCCCAUUGGUAGAAAAAAACCCACAACCCCUUGGGGUUAUCCUGCGCUUGGAAGAAGAACUAGGAAAAGGAAAAAAUAUAGUGAUAGUUUUAUUCUUCGUCGCCGUAAGUAAAUACGUAACUAGGAAUAUGGAAAAUUGCAUUUUUGGAAUUUGCAAUAAUGCGAUGGGCGAACGACGGGAAUUGAACCCGCGCAUGGUGGAUUCACAAUCCACUGCCUUGAUCCACUUGGCUACAUCCGCCCCUUAUCCAGCUAAAGGAUUUUCUCUUUUUUCCAUUCAUUAUUAUUCUAUUUAUUCUGACCUCCAUACCUCGAUCGAGAUAGUGGACAUAGGAUGCCACUCUUUAAAAUGAAAAAAAGGAGUAAUCAGCUGUGACACGAAAAAAAACGAAUCCUUUUGUAGCUCGUCAUUUAUUGGCAAAAAUCGAAAAGGUCAAUAUGAAGGAGGAGAAAGAAAUAAUAGUAACGUGGUCCCGGGCAUCUAGCAUUCUACCCGCAAUGGUUGGCCAUACAAUCGCGAUUCAUAAUGGAAAAGAACAUAUACCUAUUUACAUAACAAAUCCUAUGGUAGGUCGCAAAUUGGGGGAAUUCGUGCCUACUCGGCAUUUCACGAGUUAUGAAAGUACAAGAAAGGAUACUAAAUCUCGUCGUUAAUUGAAUUCAGAAUAGAAAGAUUCAGAAUAAACAAAAUUUAUAGGAUUCAAAUAAUCAAAUAAAGUAAAGGUAGGCGGGUAAUAACCUUAUUUAUGACAAGUUUCAAAUUGGUAAAGUAUACCCCUAGGAUAAAGAAGAAGAAGGGGCUGAGAAAACUCGCAAGAAAAGUUCCAACCGAUCGUCUACUUAAAUUCGAACGGGUUUUCAAAGCACAAAAACGCAUACAUAUGUCUGUUUUCAAAGCACAAAGAGUUCUAGAUGAGAUUCGCUGGCGUUACUACGAGGAAACCGUUAUGAUACUGAAUCUCAUGCCUUAUCGAGCAUCGUAUCCCAUCUUAAAGUUGGUUUAUUCGGCAGCAGCAAAUGCUACUCAUUAUAGGGAUUUCGACAAAACGAAUUUAUUCAUCACUAAAGCCGAAGUCAGUAGGAGUACUAUUAUGAAAAAAUUCAGACCUCGAGCUCGAGGACGUAGUUAUUCUAUAAAAAAAACGAUGUGUAAUAUAACAAUUGUACUAAAUAUAGUAAAGAAAUCAAAAUAAUCUUUAGAUCAAUCUAAGAUUUCGAUUCCCAGUAAAAAAAAAAGAAAUAUAAUAGAAAAAUAUGGGACAAAAAAUAAAUCCACUCGGUUUCAGACUUGGUACAACCCAAAAUCACCAUUCCUUUUGGUUCGCACAACCAAAAAAUUAUUCUGAAGGUCUACAGGAAGAUAAAAAAAUACGGAAUUGUAUCAAGAACUAUAUACAAAAGAAUAGGAAAAAAGGCUCGAAUAGAAAAAUGGAAUCAGACUCAAGUUCUGAAGUAAUUACACAUAUAGAAAUUCAAAAAGAAAUCGAUACAAUCCACGUCAUAAUCCAUAUUGGAUUCCCCAACUUAUUAAAGAAAAAGGGAGCAAUCGAAGAAUUAGAGAAAGAUCUCCAAAAGGAAGUUAAUUCUGUAAACCAGAGACUUAAUAUUGCUAUCGAAAAGGUUAAAGAACCUUAUAGACAACCUAAUAUUCUUGCGGAAUAUAUAGCUUUCCAAUUAAAAAAUAGAGUUUCAUUCCGAAAAGCAAUGAAAAAAGCUAUUGAAUUAACUAAAAAAGCGGAUAUAAAGGGAAUAAAAAUCCAAAUUGCGGGUCGUCUAGCAGGAAAAGAAAUUGCACGUGCCGAAUGCAUCAAAAAGGGUAGACUACCCCUCCAAACAAUUCGCGCUAAAAUUGAUUAUUGCUGCUAUCCAAUUCGAACUAUCUAUGGAGUAUUAGGUGUCAAAAUUUGGAUAUUCGUAGAAGAAGAAUAACUAACCAUGUCUUCCCAUUCCGCCCAGUGAUAGAAUAAAAAAGACAAGAACCUUGUUUUUCCAAAAAUCCCUAAAAAAAAGAAGAAAGUAUCCCUCUUUCUAUAAGAUUUAAUGAAAAUUAAGAAAUCUUUUAAUAUAAUUGCUAUGCUUAGUGUGUGACUCGUUAGUUUUUUCUUUAGGGUCAAAAAUGGAAAAAAACUUAGUAAUGAUAGAAAAUUAACUAAUAACCAACCUAUUGCUUCGUAUUGUCGAGAUCCUAACUAAGAAACAGUCACUAUGUGAAUAAAUACAUCUAUCAAAAAUGAGUAGAUCUAUCAUAUAGUUGUAGCAACUGCAUUUUUUUCUCUACAAAAGAAACCUGAUUCUAGGCUGUGAAGCAAAACUAAAGGGAUGUGGAUAAAAGGAGGGAUGAUAGAUAGAAGGAAGAAGAAUAAGAAAGAUAUAGGAUUCCCAUAUGUAUGGUCUAUGAAUUACAUCAUAAAAAAAAGGCAAUGUGAUAAAGCAUCAAUAUAAUAAAAUUCUCAAAAAAAAGAGAGAAUUCGAAAUCGUAACUUGACUUUUGAAACAACAAAUAAAAAUAUAAAGCAAUAAAUAAAGAGCAGCCGGGUUAAUAAAACUGAGAAAAUUGACUCGGAAAAAAAAAUUGGAAGCUCCAUUGCAGGAUUCAAACCUAACCAUUAAAGGAGAAGCUGUGGGAACGACAAAACCUAUGACUACAUAGGAUUUUAUUGAAAAGAAUCCUAACACUUCAUUGGGUGGGAUGGCGGAACAAACCAAAAAAAUUGCUUUAUUUGAUAAGGUUCUAAAUUAACAAAUAAGACAGGAAAGAGUAAAUAUUCGCCCGCGAAAUCCUUAUUGGAUUAGAAUACUUUACCACGAUUCAA